UUAGUUUGGGCAGGGCUGCAGGAGUUAAGUUGCGCAAACACUGACAUGCUUCCGCCCUGCACCCGAUUACCCAUGCACGCAGUUCCUUACGCGCUGUGGGGCUUCGUCUUCAUCCUACUGACCCAGGCCUUCCUGCUGCCGGGCAACAGCUCGCGCUACGCCAAAGACCUGCUCAUUGCUGUGCGCGUGCUGCCCAGCUCAUCGGUGGCGAAGAAGAAGCUCAAGGACUCGGGCCUGCUGCAGCAAUCCGGUUUCAGUGUCAGCGGCAUCUAUCGCGAUGGCAAGUACUUGAGCAAGCCCGACCCGAACUGGGUGCUCGAGCCGAACGAUAUUCUGUACGCGGCCGGAGAGUUCGACGUGGUGGAGUUCGUGGGCGAGGAGGUGAGAUGAGGCUCCGUACGAAGGAAACUACGGGCACUGCACCUGAAUGCUUCUGAUUGGGCAACUGAGGUUGGUCUCGGCAGACUGUUCUUGCCAUACUGGCAUACGGUACCCUGGCGGCUGCCUUGCAAGACUGUCCGCCUGACAUUCUGUUGCCUCGCCCCAAUGUGUCCUGCAGUUUGGGCUAGGGCUUGUUAACGCUGACGCGGAGACGUCUGCCGAGCGCCCCUUUACCACCGGCGAGGAGUCCGUCUUCACUCCCACUGGCGGCGCCCCCUACCAGAAACUGGUCCAGGCAACCAUUGCCCCGACGUCUGACCUGAUUGGCCGCACUGUGCGCGAGGUAUCGUGGCAGGGCCGCUUCGGUCUCAUCCCCGUGGCCAUCCAGCGCGGUAACGGCCGUGAGGACGGGCGCCUGAACGACGUGGUGCUGGCCGCCGGCGACGUGCUCAUCCUGGACACCAGUGAGUAGCUGGGGCGGCGUGGCAGGGCCCAUGGCACGUGCAUGGGCCCGCGGCGGGUACUGGACAGUUGGACACAAUAAUGGAAUGUGCCAGAUUCGUUGCUUGCCACAGCGUGCGCCGUACAUGAUACAGUACUGCCGUGCUCGUUGUCGUUCUCGCUGCUGGACGGCUGCGGAAGUUUGACUAGCAUGUGCUGUCUGCGUGCAGCCCCGUUCUACGAUGAGGAGCGCGAGGACAGCAAGAAUAACUUUGCGGGCAAGGUCCGCGCAGUCAAGGACGGCGCAGCCAAGGAGUUCGUGGUGAGUUCGGGGUUUGGCGGGCUUGCUGCGUGAGUCCCAUAGAGCCAAAUGGGCCAUACAUGCAAGGGAGCGUGACUUGGGCCAUCAUGGGAUGCUGCUCAUUCACGGCAUGGCGUGUUGUGCAGAGGAAAUGUUUGCAAGGUCCAUGCUAACCAUGGCUGUCCAAUUGCGCUCCUUGUCGCAACUAGGUCGGCGUCAAGGUGAAGAAGAGCUCUGAGGUCGUCAACAAGACUGUGUCUGCGGGUGAGUACAAGGGGCUAGUGGCUGUUGUGUGCUGCACACCUGCCGGCAUGUAUAUGUGCGUGCUCAUCCCUUGUCUGUCAGUCGCCCUCGCCUUCAUCGCAUGUGCUUAUGGCAUGCCAACACGAAGUGCGCUAUCCUGUUUUGCUUGCAGCUGGCCUCCGCGGUAUCCCCGGCCUGUUUGUGCUGUCCGUGGACCGCGCUGACGGCAGCAGUGUGGAAGCCUCCGACUACCUGUACAAGAUCCAGCCCGUGAGUGCUGGUACCUACCGGUGUUAGUUCCUGGCUCCAGAUGCCCCUCAUUCAUACCUUGGAAGGCCGCAUGGUCUUCACGCGUCGCUGCGCUUACGCUCAGUCCCAUUGUCGUUGCCCCUAUCACACAGGAUGACACCAUCUGGAUUGCUACUGAUAUCGGCGCCGUGGGCUUCCUGGCUAAGUUCCCUGGCCUGGAGCUGGUGCAGCAGGAGCAGGUGGACAAGACCGGCACCUCCAUCCUCUACCGCCACCUGGUGCAGGCAGCCGUGAGCCACAAGGGCCCGAUCGUGGGCAAGACUGUGCGCGACGUCCGCUUCCGCACCCUGUACAACGCCGCAGUGGUGGCCGUGCAUCGCGAGGGCGCUCGUGUGCCCCUCAAGGUGAGAGGCUGCCUCUAGACGCUGCACGCAAGCGACGCGCUUUACUUCAUUUACCUGCCGCCUCUAAGCACUUGCAUGCGACUGACGUCAGCUCCAUGCCAUCCUAUCCCCACAGGUCCAGGACAUUGUGCUGCAGGGCGGCGACGUGCUCCUGAUCAGCUGCCACACCAAUUGGGCCGACGAGCACCGCCACGACAAGUCCUUCGUGCUGCUGCAGCCCGUGCCCGACUCUUCUCCGCCCAAGCGCAGCCGCAUGGUCAUCGGUGUGCUGCUGGCCACCGGCAUGGUGCUGACCCAGAUCGUCGGCGGCCUGAAGAGCAGGGAGUACAUCCACCUGUGGCCCGCCGCCGUGCUCACCUCCGCGCUCAUGCUGCUGACCGGCUGCAUGAACGCGGAUCAGGCGCGCAAGGCCAUCUACUGGGAUGUCUACCUGACCAUUGCCGCGGCCUUUGGCGUGUCGGCCGCGCUGGAGGGCACGGGUGUGGCUGCGUCCUUCGCCAACGGUAUCAUCUCCAUCGGCAAGAACCUGCACAGCGACGGCGCGGCUCUCAUUGCCAGUGAGUGGGAAGGCCAGUACAGGCUGUCACGUAACAAGGAGGCCCACUUCGUACACGACGGCAGGGGUAUGUUCAGCUGGUUGCAACUGCCGCAAGCGUCGUCUUUGGUUCGCACCUGCCUCGGACUUCAUGUACACUUCUAACAAGCUCUCACCCCGCUCAUGCCUCGUCCCCUCGCCUUCGCCUUCCCCAACGCGCAGUUUACAUUGCCAGUGAGUCGGGUACAGGAUACGCUGUAGCAUGUGUCGCAUGGUGCCCUUUGAAAGCCCCACAGGUUUAUGCCAUAGGCUCAUAGUCAGUUCAGCAGCAGCAGUGUAGCCUGUCACAACCGGGUUGCAACUUCCUGAUUAUAAUUUCUCCCUUCCACCUGGCCCCUGAACAGCUGCGAUGUUGUCCGAGCUGCUGACCAACAAUGCCGCCGGCGCCAUCAUGUACCCCAUCGCCGCCAUUGCGGGUGAGAAACGUGGGCAGGCGUGGGUAGGCUUGUGGAGAAGGAAGCAACAGGAGCGCAAUGCCCGUGUGAGCGCGUUACACCAUCUGCCGCAAUUCAAUGGGUUCGCGCGCUAAACCACCAUCCAAUUCCCUGAACAGGUGACGCGCUCAAGAUCUCACCCAAGGAGACCUCUGUGGCCAUCAUGCUGGGCGCCUCGGCCGGCUUCAUCAACCCCUUCUCCUACCAGUGCAACCUGAUGGUGUACGCUGCUGGCAACUAUAGCGUGCGCGAGUUCGCCAUCAUUGGCGCCCCGUUCCAAAUAUGGCUCAUGAUUGUCGCGGGCUUCAUCCUGUGCUACAUGAAGGAAUGGCACCAGGUGCGGAUUGGUACAUAAGACUCCAUUAAGAUGCCUCCGCAAAUGCAUGCAGAUGGUGGGCAUUGUGAUUGGUAACCCGCUCAGGGCCAACGGCGAUGCAGAAGCCGGCGUGCUCACCUUCCAUCUGAUGAUCUCCCGACCCCCCGUGUCCUGUAGGUCUGGAUCGUGUCCUGGAUCUGCACCGCCGGCAUCGUCCUCCUGCCGGCCCUGUAUUUCCUGCUGCCGACCAAGGUUCAGCUCCGCAUCGAUGCAUUCUUCGAUCGGGUGGCGCAGACCCUGAACCCCAAGCUCAUUAUUGAGCGCCGCAACUCGAUCCGCCGCCAGGCCUCGCGCACCGGCUCUGACGGCACCGGCAGCUCAGAUAGCCCCAGGGCACUUGGCGUGCCAAAGGUCAUCACAGCGUAAUGACCUCGCCAAAUCCUAUUCACAAUAACGUGUACGGGGCGUGGGGUAUGGUGAUGAUGAUGACGUGUUGAACAUGUCUGUUUCGAUGUGUGUGUCAAAGUUGUUGUGCUUGGGUGUGACGUAGGCAGGCUUGGUGAUGUGCAGGAGGAUGUUUCGUAAACCCUUGAUCAUUGGUUGGAAGGACCUGGCAUGGAAGGUGCCGGGGCAUUCCGAGAUGAAUCGCGAGGCGUGUGCAGAGUGGAGCCUGUCGGUCAUAGAGUGUCGGGCAGGCCAUAAAACCGGGCUGCACUGGUUUGGCGCUCUCGAUGCAUGGAUAAAAGAUGGCAAGGGCUUCAAAAUGUGUAGAGCUUAGGGCAGUUUGGUCGCUUUUGUGCACUACUAUGGCCUCUCCGGCCUGGCACGCGCAUUUACUACUGUCGAUCGGGCCGCCACUUGUGUACUGAAAGCACACUGCAUAGUUACUGUUUGUAUUAAUUUCGGACGGUCCCAACUUGAGACAAAGAAGUUGCGCGGACCGAGUGCCGCUUUUUCUUCAAAAGACAAAUGGCCGCGAUAGGAUGGCCCGGCAUCGUCGCGAUCAUCAGUGUCGCGAUAUCGUUCAUCAUCAUGGCCGCGGACUGGGUUAGUGCGCGGGCUCGGGGGGUGGGGGUCAGGUGUGGACGGUGUGUUAACGGAUUGCAAAUGGCUUUUGCAAAAUGUUUAACGAUGCUGUGUUGCUGGCACUUGGCAGACUUUGUCGCAAACUCGCUUGCUGCAAGCGGAAGAGCGCUGAAAGCUGAGAGUACCCGCGAACGGUCUCUCCCCACGCGAUGAGCUCACGCUGUAAUUAAAGCGAUAAGCAAGUGCUAUUGCUAUUGUCUAAAGAAUAUGUUUCCUGGCUUGAGAAGGGAACACUGUGCCGCCCCCAGCGCCAGCUCCGGUUGCCCCGGUUCGCAGAGCCGGCAACUGUGCAUACACGUAACUGUGCACAUUGCCCCGCCCUCAUCUUAGAAAAGCGCCCGGUGAUCCCAGAAGAGUCCGUGGAUAACACUACGGGUAUCGAUCUUGUCGCUCAUGUGCAAUAAUGCGUCUUGUGGUCCCAUUCGUGGGAGCAGCCAGUAAUCGAGCUGGGAACUUUCUUGAUCCCUGGACAGGUCGGCCCUGACAUAACCUUCACGAUCCUGCUUUCAUGGUUAACAGCUUUCGAUGGUAAGCAGAGAUAAUGUUCUUUCGGCUGCCGCUUGAGGGAUGGCCGGGGACAGGAGAGUACGGCGGUAGCGGGGUCUCAUCAACGUGCCCAGCUUCGAGUGCCCAUGUACAUGCCAAACUAGCACGCACGGCAACCUCUUGAGUUUUACGCAUGGCCAUGGCACACUGUGGCCGUAAAUCUGAAUGCCAUACAUAGGUAAAAUCAUCACAGUUGCCAAAGCCGCGGCGGGCUACGGCAACACUGGCCUCCUUACCGUCAUCUUUCUGUACUGGGUGGCAGAGGGCGUUACGCAGACCGGAGGUAAGACCUGGAUUGGCGUCGUUAGCUGUGGUUGGGGUGCCAUUGCUGGAGCUUAUGGCAUGAAUGCAUGCUUGAUAACUUCAGCUCAACGGUGGCGGCCCAGUCAGUGGAGGCUGGAUGCAGCAUUGCCCUACCUCUCCCCCCGCAUAUCUUGACGAGUGUUGCGGAACUAGAUAAUGCGUACGUAGACCAGAGCGGAAGACGGAGUGGGCUUGCAGGCGGCACGAGAGUAGGCAGUCAGUAGCGCAAGUUGCGAAUUCACAUGUUACCUCGUAACCGACGGUAAACGCUGUGGACGGUCGCGCCCAUGGCUGGCUGACGGAAGGUGGCUGCUGUAUUGGGAUGGCUGGGCUGGACGACGGCGGCCGGGCUGGCGUUGGGACUACCAGAAAGGAUGCGCCCAAAACCAACCUGGAUAUCUAUAGGUCACCCUUGCUCUCCUUCCCUGCAUCACACAGGUCUAGAGCUAGUCAUGAACUACGUCCUGGGCCGCUCCCGGUCAGUGCACUGGGCGUUGGUGCGCUCAAUGUUCCCCGUGAUGGUCUUGUCCGCGUUCCUGAACAACACCCCGUGCGUCACCUUCAUGAUCCCCAGUAAGUGACACGGCCUGGGAACAACAUAUUCAAAGCUGCCCUACAUUACGGCAGCAGACGAACGGCCGAUGCAGGCAACCUCCGGCGGGGUCAUUUGGGAAGCCCUGCCAGGGAGGGGGCUAGGCUCGAUGUACCGUACAGAAAGCGCUGUUGAUCCAGUUCUCUGCUCAUCCUUGCUCCCCUGCAGUCCUGAUGUCCUGGGCUCGGCGCUGCGGCGUGCCGCCUAAGAAGCUGCUCAUUCCGCUGUCGUACGCGGCCGUGCUGGGUGGCACAUGCACUUCCAUCGGUACCUCCACCAACCUGGUCAUCGUGGGCAUGCAAGACACGCGUUACAACAAGCAGGUGAGGGCACGAAUUUAGCACAUGCCGUCCACCAACUACGUGCAUUUGUGCUGCUGCGUCUGCAUUCCAACCGCAUCCAUCCCAUCGGAUGUGCCCUUAACCCUAUGCAGAACAAGGAGGAUGAGGCCAAGUUCGGCAUGUUUGACAUUGCGCCGUACGGAGUGCCGUACGCGCUCAUGGGCUUUGUCUUCAUCAUCCUAACGCAACGGUUCCUGCUGCCGGGCAACAGCUCGCGCUACGCUAAGGACCUGCUCAUUGCUGUGCGCGUGCUGCCCAGCUCUCCGGUCGUUAAGAAGAAGCUCAAGGACUCGGGCUUGCGCAC
rnacentral:lncRNA from 1 species